GGGAACCUCAGGUCAGGCAGGGCUACCCGCUGAGUUUAAGCAUAUCAAUAAGCGGAGGAAAAGA
rnacentral:rRNA from 1 species